AGGCGCCCCCAAACGCGAACCCGGGACCUCCGCGCCCGCCGCUGUGGGGAGGGUGCGGCCCGAGACGCUUGGAGGGCGGCGGGCGCCGGAAUCGCAGCCUGCUGUGGCCACUUGCCCGCACUCUUGCCUGACUGACCAUUUUCCGCUCUGGCUACUGGGCCUCCCACGGAGUUCUGUCCUCAGGGUUCGUCAAUUACCUGGAAUUGCGUAACCGCCCGUUACAGGCCAGACCGAGGCCGAGAGCGAUUUCUCCAGACAACAGUCUGGAAUUCCUCAAGGAGCGUACCCUCUAGUUUUCACGAUAGGAUAAAGGGCUUGAGAGAGCACUGAGGAGGAGUCACUUAUUCUGCCUGAGGGGAAGUCAGGUUGCUAUCUGAAGUUGGCCUUGCGGCUGCUGUCCCAUUUGCGGGAGCCGUAGCCGCAGGUGACACCUGAGCUCUCGAAAUGUGGCUGGUCUGAAUAGAGAUGUGUUCCAAGAUUUAGAAGAUUUAAUUUAAAAAGUGAUAUUUUGGGUAUAUUGGGUUAAAUAUAUUAAAAUUAAUUUCACCUGGUUUUAACUUUUUAAAUGUGGCUAUAAAUAUGGCUUGCAUUAUAUUUCUAUUGGAUAGUGCUACCUUGCAGCAUUAAGAUGGAUUUGACUAGAAAAGAUGAGAAGGGCCUACAAACAGUGAGUAAACCCAUUGCUGUUAGAAUCUGUUUAUAACCUACAAGUCACAUUCACAUUCCUUAUUUCAUCAUUACAACAAUUUUCAAAAAUUUUAUUUAGUAGACUUAAAAAAUAAUUGACUCACUUAAGGUCAUAUGUGACAAUCAUUCGUUUAAUGCAUAUUUAUUUUCUACGUGUGCCAGACACUGUAACUAAAUGCUGGGAGUUAAAGGAUUCACAGUCUGGGGAAGCACAUGUCAACAAAUAUUUGCAAUAAAAACGUAGAUUCUAAAACAGAGGAACGUACGCUGCACUUGAAGCAAAGAGAAGUGACCACGUAUGGGACGGAGGUCAGAGAAGGCCCCCCACUCUGACAGAAAUCGUGAGGCAGAGAAGAGUCAGGAGGGCUGUCUAAUGAAAGAGGAAAAUGCAGUAGACACGCAGUUGGGAAGAGUAUAGAGCAUAUUCUAGGAGCAGAUCAUGGGAUAUGUCGGGGUAGUAGUAGAGCCAGAAUUUUUAUCCCGGGUCCUGGAACUAAGUCCAGGGGUUCUUUUCACUUAUGCUACCACUGGUGGUAAAUAUAAGGUGCGUUAAUUGGAGUAGGCUAGCAAAACCAGUAUCUCGGGGCUUAACUCCAUAAAGGCUUAUGUUCAUACAAGUCACAGUGUGGUAACAAGUUGGUUGGGGCCAGAGGGUGGGGUCUGUACUUCUUGAAUUCAUUGAAGGACCAGGCUUCUUGCAUUUGGUGGUUCUCCCAUGCCGAGGCCUUGGUAAUGUAGUCAAAUCUGUGGCCCUCAGAUAAGGGAGGCUGGCCGUGGUUAACUUGUCAGAGAUAUUAGGGGCCAGUCCUGGAAGUGGUGUGUAUCAUUUUCACCCCAUUCCCUUAGCCAGAACUCAUGCGCAUGGUCACAUGGCCCUACCCAGAAGGGUGGCUGGGAAGUAAAGAAUGUGUGCCUCAUGGAAAAGGAAAUGGGCGCUGCUGGACACAGCAUUGCCUCGUCACACAGAGUUAAAUUGAACAUAACCAAGUACGUAAACCUGACUUUACCUGAAAAGAAUGUUUGGAAAGAACUGAUAGAUAUUAUAAUAGCCCAAACUCUCCUCGACUGUUUUGGGAAACAAAUCAGUGUGAGAUUGUUUCCAAAAAAUAAAAAAAGCCAGGUGCAGUGUCUCAUGCCUGUAAUCCCAGCACUUUGGGAGGUAGAGGCGGGCGGAUCACAAGGUCAGGAGUUCAAAACCAGCCUGGCCAACAUAGUGAAACCCUGUCUCUAGCUGGGCAUGGUGGUGCGUGCCUGUAGUCCCAGCUACUUGGGAGGCUGAGGCAGGAGAAUCGCUUGAAACCAGGAGGUGGAAGUUGCAGUGAGCAGAGAUCGUGCCACUAAUACUCCAGCUUGGGCAACAGAAUGAGACUUCGUCUCAAAAAAAAAAAAAAAAAAAGAGGCUGAAUGGUAUCAUCUUCUUUAUACCAGAACCUUUUCUUUUUAAAAAUAACUUUUAUAAUUUUAAAUUUGUGUAGUUACAUAAUAGGUGAAUAUCUUUAUGGGGUACAUGAGAUAUUUUGAUGCAGGUAUGCAAUGCAUGAUAAUCACAUCAUGGGAAUCAGGUAUCCAUCCCCUCAAGCAUUUAUCCUUUGUGUUACAAACAAUCCAAUUAUACCCUUUUAGUUACUUUAAAAUGUACAGUUAUUAUUGACUAUAAUAACUAUUAAAUACUAGGUCUAUUAAAUACUAGGUUGUUCUAUUAAAUACUAGGUCUUAUUCAUGCAUUCAAACUAUUUUUUGUACCCAUUAACCAUCCUCACUGUCCCCAUUCCCCCAUUACCCUUCCCAGCCUCUGGUAACCAUCCUUCUACUCUCUAUCUCCAUGGGUUGAAUUGUUUUGAUUUUUAGAUCCUCCAAAUAAGUGAGAACAUGUGAUGUUUGUCUUUCUGUGUCUGGCUUAUUUCGCUUAACAUAAUGACUUCCAGUUCCAUCCAUGUUGUUGCAAAUGACUAAAUCUCAUUCUUUUUUUAUGGCUGAAUAGUGCUCCAUUGUGUGUAAGUACCAUUUGUUCUUUAUUCAUUCAUCUGUUAAUGGACACUUAGAUUGCUUCCAAAUCUUGGCUAUGGUGAACAGAGCUGCAACAAACAUGGGAAUGCAGAUAUCUCUUUGAUAAACUGAUUUCCUUUCUUUUAGGUAUAUACCCAGCAGUGGGAUUGCUGGAUCAUAUAGGAGCUCAAUUUUUAGUUUUUUUGAGGAACCUCCAAACUGUUCUCCCUAGUAGUUAUACUAAUUUACAUUCCCACUAGCAGUGUAUGAGGGUUCCCUUUUCUCUACAUCCUUACCAGCAUUUGUUAUUGCCUGCUUUUUGAAUAUAAGCCAUUUUAACAGGAGUGAGAUGAUAUCUCAUUGGAGUUUUGAUUUGCAUUUCUCUGAUGAUCAGUAAUAUUGAGCACCUUCUCAUAUGUCUGUUUGCCAUUUGUAUGUAUUCUUUUGAGAAAUGUCUAUUCAAAUCUUUUGCCUAUUUUUUAACCAGAGUAUUAGAUUUUUUCCUGUAGAGUUGCUUGAGAUCCUUAUAUAUUCUGGUUAUUAAUCUCUUAUCAGAUAAGUAGUUUGCAAAUAUUUUCUCCCAUUCUGUGUGUUGUCUCUUCAAUUUGUUGAUUGCUUCUUUUGCUGUGCAGAAGCUUUUUAACUUGAUGUGACCCCGUUUGUCCAUUUUUGCUUUGGUCGUCCGUACUUGUACAGAACCUUGUCUUAAACAUCACAAGGAAUAAAUUCAAAAUGUCUUUAUAUUAUGCUUUGGUGUGCCAUCUCUUUAGUUAUCAGUUAACAAACCCUGCAAGGUGUAGAUCUGCAUGGGUUCAGGGACAUUAAGUGAGCCAAGAGGCACAAUCAGGAAUUGAGCCCUGGUCUGACUUCUCACUGGGUGCACCUUUAACCAGAGUGGUACUUUACCUUUUACAAUGGACAAGUACAAACUCCUAUGCAAUGUUACAGCAGGGAUUAAUUAACUAUGCAUUGAGUAGCAGGCAGAUGAUUCCAUCUUUUUCAGACUUUCUGAUGGAGGAGUUUCAAGAUCAGCUUUGAAGGUGAAAUGUAGGAAGGGCAUCCCAUAUAGAAUCAGAAGGCAGAAAUGGACAUGCUGUGGCAUGUUGUGGAAUGAAGAACACACAUAUGUGGGGGUGUCAGUCUAGAGUAGAGAAGAAACAGGGAAAUUGAUAGAAUAGUGGAUGAAGGUGGUGGAUGAAGAAUUUUUUAUUUGCUAUAUCAGGUGAUAGGGAGUCAUUAUAUUUGUGUUUAAAAGGAAGUGAUACACCUGAUGGUGCCAAUUAUAUCAUUGUAAGGAGACUUGGUGGUCCUGGGCUGCUCUGUUGAUGGAAUUCUGGUAACUGGGAUGAGUUGGGCACACAGGUGGAUUCUAAUGUGUGGAAUACAGAGUUCCUUGGGACAUAGCAGCAUUCUUCCUGCUGCUGUUGGUCAUAAGUAGAUACAGGGUAUGAACUGUGAGAGUGAGUGGCUGCAGUGGUGAACACAAUCAUUUAAGGUAAAAUAAAGCCAAGGAACUGAGAGACUAGAGUGCUAGCAGGGAUAGGGUUCAAAAUAUUUAACUACUAGUGCUAGCAUGGCAUGGACCCAUCAAAAUAGAUGUAGCCCAUAACGCUGGUGCAGGGUCCUGCAGGCACCUUGUUGUGUUAGAUGAUUACUUUUUGUUUCUGAAUCGUGAAGAGAUCUGUUGAAUCCUGAUGAGGGGCUAGAGCAUUGAGGCAUGACAUUGAAGAGGAUUGACAGUGGCUAUGAAAAUAUUUCAGUAUUUUAGCAAGGAAUACAAUUAUACUUGCACAUAUUCAUAUGCAUGAGAUGCAUUGUCCUCAUGGAUGUUGAAGUCACUAGGAAUAAUGAAGGCAUUAUGGAGAGAGGGAUAGUAAGCCAGUUGAUGGAGUCUUAAAUGAAAGGUGAGUGACCAGGAGUGUGGUAGGUAAUAAUAACAAGGAGGAGUGUGUGUGGAAUAGUUUGAUGACAUGUGCUUCAAUGCAGCUGGACAUUAUUUAGAGAGGAAGGAUGAAAAUGGUACUUGAAGCAGCAAGGAGAAAAGAGAGUUCACUAUACUGAACAGAGACCACUUGCCCCAACACCGAACCUGAAGUAGAGCCUGGGUAUCUGAAAAAAGCUGUCCCAUAGAAUGAGAGAACCACAGCGAGAUGAGAAGGGCAUGCGGAGAAGGCUUUGCCUUGGCCCUCAGAGGAGCAGAUGCUCAGUAUGACAGAUGUGAUUCUAGAGUAAGAGAAGAAGAUUAGGGAAAGUGUCAGUAGCCCCCAGAAUGCCUGUGACACAGCUAGAAGAAUCUCAUUGACAGUGGGAUCAAUGUAGGACAGAGGGAAGAAUGGAGGCAGCUUACACCUGAAAUAAGGAUGAUGUCAGGCCCACAGAAAUGUAACUUGUGGGUGAAAAGACUGUCCAUCAAGGAAAUCAGAAAUCCCGCUGCCCAAGCAAUUCUCAAAAUCACCAUACAGAGAGAUCUGUUCAUGACCAUGGUAUAGACCACAGGGUGGCGGAUGGUAGCAUAGUGAUCAUAGGCCAUGGCAGAGAACAGACAGGCUUCCGUUCCCCCAGAGAGAGUGAAAAAGAAACUUGGUGAGGCAGCCCCACAUUGAGAUGCUUUUCUUCUGAGAGGAAAUUUUGUAGCAUCCUGGGCACAGUAACUAGGAGUAGCUGAGAUCCAGAAAGGACAGAUGUCAAAGGAAGAAGUACAUGGGUCUUUGAAGGUGAGAAUCAGCCCUGAUCUCCAGGAUCAUCACCAGCUUCCCCGUCAAAGUCAGGAGAUGAAUCACCAGGAUUAGCACAAAGAGCAUGAUCUGGAUCUCUGCAUCACUGGAAAAUCCCACAAGGACAAACUCAGGACUAAUAUUGACAUUUAUUAUGGUUGCUUAGAGAUUCUGUCCCUCAAAAGAAAUGAAUGGUUCUCUACUUGGCAGGGCAUUCAUCUGAGUCAUUCUCACUGAACAGGAGUUUUCUACUUACAGACGAGUAUACCUCCUUACCUAUGGCCCAAAAUGGGAAACUCGGGAUAAGGAAGUGUCAUCUUAAGUACAAUCUCCUCACUUGCCCUUCUUUCCUACCUUCUAGUACUGUCUCUGCAUGAUCUUGAAGGCUUUACUCUGUACCUCCAUCACUGUUUAGUAAAUGUACCAAGUGCAUAUGAAUCAGGUAGGUCCUGGAGUCAAAAUGAGACAAACUGCCCCAGUGGCAAAGCCUAGAAAAUCUUCUCUGGAUAAGGGUUGGGAGGCCUAUCGGAAAAUGAUUCCUUCUCAGAAUGGUAAGAUCAUAGACUCACACUAUGUGAGGACAUUUACAUAAUAUACUUUAAUCCCUUCAUUUUACAAAUGAAGAGAAUGCAUUGCCUAUGGUCUCAUAGCAAAGUGAGGACUAGGUUGGGACUAAAACCAGUCAAGGUUGGAACUAGAACCAGGUGUUUCAGCUAGUCUUGUAUGCAUCCAAGUGCAUCAUACUUGGUGAUUUUGAAUUGUUAGAGCUGAGUCUUGUGUGGUUAGGGGAUCAUGUGCAACUUUGCUAGUAGGGAGUUCGCUUCUUAAAAAUUUUUUUCUUUCAGCUCCCCACACAUCUAAAUAUUUUGUAAGGAGAUACUUUGAAAGGGUAAGUCUGGCUCCAUGAAUGUCCCAUCUGUAUAGCUGCAAAGUAUCCUGAUUUAGAAGGGUCCUGAGCUCUGGCCCUGUUUACUUUUUUUUUUUUUUUUUUUAGACAGGGUCUCACCAUGUUGCCCAGGCUGGAGUGCAGUGGCACAAUCACAGCUCACUGCAGCCUCGACCUCCUGGGCUUGAGCGAUCUUGCUGCCUCAGCCUCCUGAGUAACUGGGACUACAUGAGUAGCUGGGACUACAGAGACCAUUCACUUACUAUAUUCAGAACACCAAGAGAUACGUAAAGACUGCGGUUGAUUGGUGAGCUUUGCUGGACUCAGGUGGAGAAGGCUUUGCCUUGGCCCCCAGAAGAGCAGAUGCUCCAGUCAAUUCUGGAGUAGGAAGAAAAGAUUUGGAAUACUUUAUGACUCCCUGUGAUAUGGUUUAGAUGUUUUGUCUCCUCCAAAUCUCAUGUUGAAAUGUGACCUCCAGUGCUGGAAGUGGGCCUAGAGGGAGUUGUUUGGGUCAUGGGGGCAGAUUCCUUAUGAAUAUCUUGGUGCUGUCCUAGUGGUAAUGAUUGAGUUCUCAUUCUACGAGUUCACAUAAGAUCUUGUUGUUUAAAAGAGCCUGGCACCUCCUUUCUUUCUCUCUUGCUCACUCUCACAAUGUGACACACUGGAUCCCCUUGACUUUCCACCAUCAUUGUAAGGCUUCUGAGGCCCUCCUAGAAGCAGAUACCUGCACCAUGCUUCAUGUACAGCCUGCAGAACUGUGAGACAAAUAAACUUGUUUUCUUCUAAAUUACCCAGUCUCAGAUAUUCCUUCAUAGCCGUGCAAAUGAAUGAACACAGUCAGAAAUGGAAGUGAUCUCACCAAAAUUACCUGUUGGCAAUAAGAUAUGUGUUGAAUGAAGGAGAAGUAGAGGCAGCUCAGAGUUGAAGAGAGGUUACAGGGCUUACAGAAGGGUAAGUUUAAUGUAUCCGUCAACUUAGGCCAAGUUAUGCUGUGAUAACAAGUGACCCAAAAUUUCAAUGGCUAACAACAAUAAAGAUUUAAUUCUCAUGCUACAUGUCACUGAGACAGUGGUGGCUUUGUUACUACAUAGCCUUUACUUUAGGACCUAGGCUUAGAGAGCAGCCUUUAAACUGGGAUAUGGCUGGUGUUUGGACUUAUGAAAAGAGAAGAAUGGUGAACUAUAAACUGGUUUUUGAAACUUGUGCUCAGAAGUGAUACCUGUGACUUUUUUUCCAAAGUAAGUCACAUGGCCACAUUUGAGUCAAUCAGGACAGAGAUAAAUCAUCCUCUUACAGGGAGGUGCGUUGAGAUUACAUGGUGAAACCUGAGAUCAAUGGGGUGGGGAGAAAGUAUAAUUCUUCCCCAGGAGGGUUAGCAAAUAUUUUGAAGAGUAAUACAAUCUUCCAUGUUAUUAAUGAAAUUAUUGGUCAGCAAGGAGGUCAGAACCUACUUUUCACCACUUUCUGUCCCCUCUCCUUCUCCAGAGAAAUGCAAAUAAACUGCUUUUGACUGAGAAAUAGAACAAGAGUGACACUUGACAGUUUAUCUGUCACAGGCCAUAGCAGUGAAUAGUCAGGCUUCAGAGUAUCCUGAAGAGAUGAACAAAACUCGGGGUCAUACAGUCCCCAAUGUGAAAUAUAGCCUCUUUGAUUUAUUUGCUUCUUGCUAGGAUACCUUCCCAAUAGGAGUUUUCAAAUAAGGUGGCAGUUUGGUAAAUUUUCUGAGGUUUUCUAUCAUUUAAAAUAUUGGGCCCUAACUUUUAAGAGAGAGUAUCACUGGACACAUAUUCAUAGUUUUGAAAUUUAUUUUCUUCAAGACUUUGGAAAUUUUAUGUUACUCUCUGUAUCUGAUGUUACUUUUGAAAAGUCUGAUUUCAAUCUGAUAUUUUUUCCUUAAUAGGCAGUUCUUCAUCUCUACAAACAUUUUUAGAAUCUUUUAGGAACACCUUAUUUGUCUUAGAAGUCCUCAAGAUUCAUUUUAAGUGUUUAAGUGGUUUUCUUUAUUUGUUAUGUUUAUCUGUCUUGUAUCUAACUUGGAACUCUGAGUACUUUUAAUCCUAGUUUGUUUUUUUCUGUUUUUACUCCAUAUGAAUUUUUUUCUUUACAGCUUUAUUGAAAUAUAAUUAUUGUACAAUAGACUGCAUAUAUUUAAAGUGUGUAAUUUGAUGGGUUUUGACAGAUAUAUGUACCCAUGAAACCAUCAAUGCAAUCAAAAUAAUGAACAUUUCCAUCACCUGCAAGUGGUAGAUUAUUAUUUCUUUAAAUAUGCCUCAGUCAUUUUUUUUUCCUUCUUCCUCCAGGAUGGUUAUUGAAAAUUUUUUGUUUUUGCAUUUCUCAUCUUUUCAUUUUGAAUUGUUCAUAUUUUGUCCAUCUUGGUGUUAUCUAGAAGAGCUUUUCAACUAGAUCUUUCAGCUCAAUAAUUAACUUUUUGGUUAUAUUAUUUUACUAUUUGUCUCAACUAUUUAUUCAUUUUAACCAUUAUAUAUUUUCUAUUUUAAUUAUGAAGUAUACAUAAAAAGACUAUAUGUAAUGUCUGUAUGCAGUAAGAAUGAAGAUAAUUGGACCUCAGUGUAUCUCACCCAGAUGAAGAAAUAAAACAACAACUCCUCACUCCUUCCUAUAAUAACCAUUACCCUGAGUUUUGAGUUUAUGGUUUCCUUGUAUUCUUUUUAUAAUUUUACCUCAAAUGUGUGCAUUCCUAAACAAUAAAUUUAGUUUUGCACAUUUAAAAAUACUACAUAAAAGAAAUAAUAACACAUGUAUUAUUCUGUGAUAUGUUCUGUUCUCUCAAAAUUAUAUUAGAUGAAAACAAUAUUUGACAAAGUGGACAUAGCAAAUCAGUGGGAAAGGGAA
rnacentral:lncRNA from 1 species